rnacentral:lncRNA from 1 species
GCAAAUUGGGAAGAAGUUCCAGAGAGCGGUGCUAUUUGAAAUAAGCUGAAGUAUUAUUCUGAAAGCUUGCAUGGAAGAAUGGAGGUUUGCCAGCUAUUACAAUUGGACUUUGGAGUAACUGCUGAGUGGGCCACUUCCUGGAGUCCCGAGCACAAGGAUCCUGCACAAACACACCCAGCUCUGCGUAUUCCUUCCAGGAGAGGGCAGGGGAAUACAGCUUAUUGCAGAUCUGCUCCUGAACCACAGCCAGCAUUACUCAUGGCCCAGAUCUUCCUACCUGCCUGU